rnacentral:lncRNA from 1 species
AUAGUUGUCAUCCGAAUGUAUAUAAAGUGGUAUCUCAUUUAGUUUUGAGUUGAAGUCCUUAAUGAUUAGAGAUGUUGAACAUCUUUUUAUGUGCUUAUUGGGUUUGCCCUUUUUGUUUGUUUUUUUGAGACAAGAGUCUUGCUCCAUCUCCCAGGCCGGAGUGCAGUGGUGCAAUCUUGGCUCACUGAAACCUCUGCCUCCCAAGCUCCAGUGUUCCUCCCACCUCAGCCACCUGAGUAGCUGGGACUACAGGUGCAAGCUACCAUGCCUGGUUAAUUUUUUAUAUUUUUUGUAGAGACGGGGUUUUGCCAUGUUGCCCAGGCUGGUCUUGAACUCCUGGGCUGAAGCAAGCCACUGCCUCGGCCUUGCAAAGUGCUGGGAUUAUAAGCAUGAGCCACUGAACCCAGCCUCUUUUUUUUUUUUUUUCCUACACCAAACACCUGAACUCAUUUUAUGCACUUUUAUUGUUUUUUUUGUUGUUGAGUUGUAGGAGUUUUUUUAAAUGUAUUCAGGAUAUCAAUCACAUAUUAGAUAUAUGGAUUUGCAAAUAUUUUCUCCCGGUCUGGGUUUUCACUCCCCUCCAGAUCAUAUCCUUUGAUGCAUAAAAGUUUUAAAUUUUGAUGUGGUCCAGUUUAUUUUUACUUUUGUUGCCUGUGCUUUUGGUAUCCUAUCCAAGAAGUCAUUGCCAAAUCCAAUGUCAUGAAACUUUUCCUCUCUGUUUUCUACUAAGGGUUCUAUAGUUUUCACUCUUAGGCUUAGGUCUUUGAUCCACUCGAGUUAAUUUUUUCAUAUGAUAUGAGGCCAUUCUUAACAUUUUGUAUGGAUUUUUAAAAAAUGAUUUAUGCUACUAGGGAAACAGAAAAAAGGACUUCUGAACUUGAAGCUGAUAAGUUGUAAAUUUAUCAUGUUUCUGAAUUUUCUAGAUAACUCUGUAUAAUUAAUUAAACAGAGCUCUUAUCACCCAAGACAUUAAUGAGUGGUAGUCUCUAGGAACCAGCUCAGAUUAACUGCCAAAUAAGCUAAACUUCCUUUUUAUUGCCAGAGUUAUUAACCUAAGUGGAUUAUAAGUCAAUAACAGAGGAAAUAUAUCUGAAUUUUAAUGAGCCAUUUUAUAGUCUUGUGGAUACAGUACAAAAGCCUGAACUGAAUUAUGAUAAACCUAGUGAAUGUAACAGUGUUGAUCACAAAAUUAGUUUGAUCUUUGAUCCUGUGAUACUGGCCUCCGUCCACACACACACUUCUUAGUCUAAAGAAAACAGCCUAGUCUUCUUAGAAUAUCAUUUAAAGGCUGGGUGCAAUGGCUCAUGCCUCUUAUGCUAACACUUUGAGAGGCCAAGGCAGGCAGAUCACUUGAGCCCAGGAGUUCAAGACCAGCCUGGGCAACAUGGUGAAACCCUAUCUCUACAAAAAAUUAAAAAAAAUUAGCAGGGCAUGGUGGUGCACACCUGUAGUCCCAGCUGCUUGGUAGACUGAAGUGGGAGGAUUGCCUGGGCCCAGGAGUUUGAGGCUGCAGUGAGCUGUGAUCAUGCCACUGCACUCCAGCCUGGGUGACAAGAGUGAGACCCUGUCUCCAAAAAAAGAAAAAAAAAAGAAAAAUGAAGGUAUCUUUUGGCUGUGUGGCUCUGUUCAUGUAAUUCUUUAAAAACGCUGACUUCAGGCUGGGCAUGGUGGCUCACGCCUAUAAUACCAGCACUUUGGGAGGCCAAGGCAGAACGAUUGUUUGAGUUGAGAACAGGAGGUCAAGAUCAGCCUGGGCAACACAGGAAGACCCCAUCUCUACAAAAAAUUUUUAAAAUUACCUGAGCAUGGUGGCAUGCACCUGUAGUCUCAGCUACUUGGGAGGCUGAGAUAGGAGGAUCACUGGAGCCUGGGAGGGGAGAUUGAGGCUGCAGUGAGCCAUGAUUGUACCUCUGCACUCCAGCCUGGGCGUCAGAGCAUGACCUAUCUCAAAAAAAAAAAAAAGUCUGACUUUAUGUGGAGGUAAGAUCAUGGGUAGCAGGCCCAUACGCAUCUUUUCAGGUACUUCCGUCUUCCCAACACAUGUAUAUUGAUGAAAGGUGGAUUCUUAUUUUCCCUGCUUAGGUCACAUGGCACAUGGCUACCCAGGGGGAAGUCACUGUUCAUUGGAAUUAGGGUAAUUUAGGGAAGGUAUAAAUUGACAGCUGAUACCACAGGGAAUAAGUGAGGAGCAGUUCACCAAAGGAAUUAGGCAUGCUGGACAAACAAAACCAAUAUGAUACAAAGGUACUUUUGUCAAAAUAAAAAACUAAAAGUAGUACUUUGUUACUAACUAAACUCCAGAUUUUAUUUCUAUUUCAGCAGUUUUUCCAUUAAUAUUCCCUUUCUGUUCCAGGAUUAAAUCCAAGCUACCACUAAAUUGCUAACAAGCUAAAUUGCACUUACUUAUCAUGUCUCCCAAUCAUGUCAGAUCACUGUUUCAGUUUUUAAUGAGCAUUAUGGUUAUUUUCCGGCUUUAUUGGGAUAUAGUUGGCAAAUUCAAAUGGCAUAUAUUUAAGGCGUAAAAAAACUCGAUGUUUUGAUAUAUAUGUACAUUAUGAAAUGACCUUGACAGUCUUGAAGAAUACUAGCCAAGUAUCCUAUAGUGUGUCCUCUAAUCUGUGCUUGUCUGUUGUUUUUCUCAUGGUUAGAUUGGUUUAUAGGUGUCUUAGUGUGUUUUGUGCUGCCAUAACAGAAUACCUGAGCCUGGAUAAUUUAUUGAGAACAGAAAUUUAAUUUCUCAUAGUUCUGUAGGCUGGGAGUCCAAGAUUGAGGUGCUAGUAGGUUUUGUGUUUGGUGAAGGCCUGGUCUCUGCUGCCAAGAGGGUGCCUUGAAUACUGCAUCCUCCAGAGAGCAGGAGCACUGUGUCCUCACAUGGUAGAAGAAUAGAAGAGAGCAAACCCACUCCUACAACCAACCAACCAACUUCCCUC